rnacentral:lncRNA from 1 species
UUAAUCUGACAUGUUCAUCAUUCCAUCAUAAACUACUAAGUCAUACAUCAUAACUUAGAAUCAAAAUAAUAUUAAGCAUUGCCACUUCAUACUGGCAUACCAAACAAGUGUAUAUAUACUAUCUACACAUGUAUCUUAAUAAUUCACAUUAGGUUCGUCUAUACACAACAAAAGGAGACUCGAUGUCCAGCGAAGAGACUCGGACGAAAGUACAGCUACUGAAUGCUGAGACACCUACCAAAAGAUGGAUACAAGUCCACGAGGACACCUCGUCCUAGUUACCGGCUGUCUCUUAAUCUGAAAACAUGAAGUUUAAAGCGGUGAGCAUAAACUUAGUGAGUGAACAAGAAGGGAACAAGCAUACCAUAAGGAAUGUUUAUCGAAAUCAUGAUGUACUCAUUUCCUCAAAACAGUGCAAUUUGUUCUAGUUCUUAGUAGAACCCCUCAUGUAAAACCCUCAUGAGUAAAUAACGUAAAAGAUCCAUACUCAACUAUGGCACCAAAGAAUCUAAAAAUAUAGCAAAACCCAUAAGUUAGCCAAAAUGGAUAGAAAGUUUCUCGCUGUAGUGAGAACAAGGUCUGGUGAAGGCCCUUAAACCCAAGAGUUUCUCGCUGCAGCGAGAGUCAGAACAUCAAGGAAAAAGUCUCAUUUUCCUUUAAAACAAGCCAUCGUGCUAAAAUAACAAUAGCAACAUGUAACACAUGUAAACUCCCAAAUUUCAACAAAUCAAAUGCUCACAUAUUUGCAUUUACAACCAUAUACCAUAUAUGUAUAUAUAUAUAUAUAUAUCAAUCAUCAUGUACACCCUCCCAUCAUCAUCAUCUCAUAUGCAACGAUUUAUGCGUACUCCCACUCACAUAUAGCCAGGUCAGCAACGGCUUAUGUGCACUCCCACUCACACAUAGCUGGGUCAGCAAUGGCUUAUGUGCACUCCUACUCGCACAUAGCCGGGUCAGCAACGGCUUAUGUGCACUCCUACUCGCACAUAGCCGGGUCCACAUCAACAUGCAAAGAAGCAUCCAAUGCAUAUCAUGCAUUUUAUCAUAUUGUGAUCACCAAUAAACCAUUGUAUAGUACAUUUUCACAAUAUAAAAUCAUUUUACUAAAAGCUUGUUCCCAAGGUACAUUUUCUAAGACAAGUUGGAUAGAAUCUUUCAUAUUCCCCAAAACAAGUUUGAAAUGCAAGUCCACUCACCGGUAUUCAUUGAGCCUUUAGCCGACUCUUAAUUCCCCUAAUGAUCCACUUGGGGUGAUGGGGCUUUGUUAGCACCUACCAUCAAAUUAACAUUUCCAUAAUGUCAAUUUACAUACUAUAAACCCUAAAAGCUAUCUUUAAGCUAGCUUUCAAUUGCCAUUUAAAUGGCCAUCCAUUUUCACUUUCCUAUCACUCCAAAGUGAAUUAACAAUCUCAAUAACAAAAUAUUCACAAAUCAAAUCUCUAGUCAUUCUCAACACUUAAAACCUAAUACUAGUUUACUACUCACCUUGAUAGCUUUGUAACUUUGAACUUCUUUCCAAAAGCUCUCAAGCUAUUAAUAAAGCUUCCUCUUUCUUUCUCUAAAACACCUAACUAGUGAGAGAUUAUGGAAACAAGAUUUUCAUAGCCGGGUCAACAACGGCUUAUGUGCACUCCUACUCGCACAUAGUCAGGUCAGUAACGGCUUAUGUGCACUCCUACUCGCACAUAGCCGGGUCCACAUCAACAUGCAAAGAAGCAUCCAAUGCAUAUCACGCAUUUUAUCAUAUUGUGAUAACACAUAAACCAUUGUAUAGCACAUUUUCACAAUAUAAAAUCAUUUUACUAAAAGCUUGUUCCUAAGGUAUGUUUUCUAAGACAAGUUGGAUAGAAUCUUUCAUAUUCCCCAAAACAAGUUUGAAAUGCAAGUCCACUCACCGGUAUUCGUUGAGCCUUUAACCGACUCUUAAUUCCCCUAAUGAUCCAAUUGGGGUGAUGGGGCUUUGUUAGCACCUACCACCAAAUUAACAUUUCCAUAAUGUCAAUUUACAUACUAUAAACCCUAAAAGCUAUCUUUUAGCUAGCUUUCAAUUGCCAUUUAAAUGGCCAUCCAUUUUCACUUUCCUAUCACUCCAAAGUGAAUUAAUAAUCUCAACUACAAAAUAUUCACAAAUCAAAUCUCUAGUCAUUCUCAACACUUAAAACCCAAUACUAGUUUACUACUCACCUUGAUAGCUUUGUAACUUUGAACUUCUUUCCAAAAGCUCUCAAGCUAUUAAUAAAGCUUCCUCUUUCUCUCUCUAAAACACCUAACUAGUGAGAGAUUAUGGAAACAAGAUUUUCAUCAUUUUUAAGGGUUUUAAAGUGAGAGAGUGGAAGAAUACAAGGGUUCUAGUCAAAAGGGCACUAGGGUGUGAAAAUUAGAGCUAGAGAGAGAAAGUUAUGAAAGUUUCACAUCAAGCUUCCAUGGAGAAAUUGAAGAAACGUGAGAGGGAAGAGAAUAAGAAGAAGAAGUUGCUGGAAAUCCCAAGAAAUUGCUAGAAGG